AUUGAACGCUGGCGGCAUGCCUUACACAUGCAAGUCGAACGGUAACAGGUCUUCGGAUGCUGACGAGUGGCGAACGGGUGAGUAAUACAUCGGAACGUGCCUAGUAGUGGGGGAUAACUACUCGAAAGAGUGGCUAAUACCGCAUGAGAUCUACGGAUGAAAGCAGGGGAUCGCAAGACCUUGUGCUACUAGAGCGGCCGAUGGCAGAUUAGGUAGUUGGUGGGAUAAAAGCUUACCAAGCCGACGAUCUGUAGCUGGUCUGAGGGGACGAUCAGCCACACUGGGACUGAGACACGGCACAGACUCCUACGGGAGGCAGCAGUGGGGAAUUUUGGACAAUGGGCGCAAGCCUGAUCCAGCAAUGCCGCGUGCAGGAUGAAGGCCUUCGGGUUGUAAACUGCUUUUGUACGGAACGAAAAGCCCUGGGUUAAUACCCUGGGGUCAUGACGGUACCCAAAGAAUAAGCUCCGGCUAACUUCGUGCCAGCCGCCGCAGUAA
rnacentral:rRNA from 1 species